rnacentral:rRNA from 1 species
UACGUAGGGAGCAAGCGUUGUCCGGAAUCAUUGGGCGUAAAGCGCGUGUAGGCGGUCCGGUAAGUCCGCUGUGAAAGUCGGGGGCUUAACCCUCGGAUGCCGGUGGAUACUGUCGGGCUUGAGUACGGAAGAGGCGAGUGGAAUUCCUGGUGUAGCGGUGAAAUGCGCAGAUAUCAGGAGGAACACCGGUGGCGAAGGCGGUUCUCUGGGCCUUACCUGACGCUGAGGAGCGAAAGCGUGGGGAGCAAACAGG